AGGUUUUAUUACUAUGUGUAAGGUUCUUCUUAUGUAGGAACGGUGAUUCUACUGGGCCGUAGCGACAGACUAUGACUGUCACAGUGCAAUGGUGAUCUGUUAUUACGAAGUCUAGGAGUUACAAUGCAUGUUUGUAGUCAUUUCUUUUUCUGACUUUUAUUUUUGUUCUGAAUUGUAAAACAUAAUGAUAUUUUAUGUACAUGUAAAGCUUAUAUUAACCCCGUACUUACUACCCCUUUCAAAUUGCAAAAAUGCGUGCAUUUAUCUGGUGGACUAGUGACAAUGGUGUACAGCACGUACAAACAACAGAGGAUUUCACAUUCCUUUUGUAAGUUUUUGAGUAAGUAUUCACCACUAAUUUUACUGUAGCACUGGAUGUCAAAGUCUCAGGUGUGAGCAAACUGAUUAAGAAAUACAUGGAAACUGGUUCAAUUACUCAAAGGCCAGGAUCUGGAAGACCUUCAAAAGUAACCAGAGAAGUUUUAAAGAUAGUAUAGGACCAAAUGCAAGCUGAUGAUGAAAGCACUGCUACUCAACUUCAGUAGCUUCUCGUUGAGAAAGGUCAUUCACUGUCACUGAAAACAAUAUUGAAGUCUCGCAAAACACUUGGUUGGACAUACGGUGGGAGUGCAUACUGCCAGAUCAUUAGAGAACCAAAUAAAGAGAAGCGAAUGAAAUUGGCUCAAGAUCAGUUGCAGGAGCACAGGACUACUGGUUUUUCUGAUGUACUGUACAGUGAUGAGUGUACAAUUGAAUUCGAAUCCCACAGGAGAUUUUCAUGAAGGAAAAUAGGUGCCCCCGAAACCAAAACCAAGGUACAUGCAUGGGCAGGUAUAAGUUGCCAAGGAAAGACGCCAAUUGUG